UACGAAGGGGGCUAGCGUUGCUCGGAAUGACUGGGCGUAAAGGGCGCGUAGGCGGAUGGUACAGUCAGAUGUGAAAUUCCCGGGCUCAACCUGGGGGCUGCAUUUGAUACGUAUGAUCUUGAGUGGGGAAGAGGGUCGUGGAAUUCCCAGUGUAGAGGUGAAAAUUCGUAGAUAUUGGGAAGAACACCGGUGGCGAAGGCGGCGACCUGGUCCUUGACUGACGCUGAGGCGCGAAAGCGUGGGGAGCAAACAGG
rnacentral:rRNA from 1 species